rnacentral:misc_RNA from 1 species
GGCAGUACUACGUUAUCGUGAUAUGUUACAUUUACUUCACAAGAGUUGUGGUUUAUGCUCUGGAGACCAUCACCUCUUAUCGGUAUCAGUGGACUAGUGUGGUGGCUGCUGAAGCUGCAACACUUGCCUUCUAUGCCUUCACGGGGUAUAACUUCAGGCCUAAGGCACACAAUCCAUAUUUUGCGAUUGAUGACGAGGAGGAAGAAGCUGCUUCUGAGGCACUCAAGCUUGAAGAUGAAUUUGAAUUAUAGAUAUCAUUUUUCACUCUAUGCAGAUACGUUUGAAGAGGCGCAAUUGAAAAUACUCAAUCUCAGAGAAGGCUCUAUAGUAACAUUUUUUAAAUCACUGCCUAGUUUGUUUGUUCAUUAGUGUGUAUAUUCAAUCUAAUAGAUAUCUGGUAUGCUUUUAUUACAAUGUUGAACUAUUCUGUUAUGAAUUGAACUCUGGUUUUCGA